rnacentral:rRNA from 1 species
AAGACGGGAGGCUGCAGUGGGGAAUAUUGGACAAUGGGCGAAAGCCUGAUCCAGCCAUGCCGCGUGUGUGAAGAAGGCCUUCGGGUUGUAAAGCACUUUCAGUGGGGAAGAAAGCCUUGGGGCUAAUACCCUCGAGGAAGGACAUCACCCACAGAAGAAGCACCGGCUAACUCCGUGCCAGCAGCCGCGGUAAUACGGAGGGUGCGAGCGUUAAUCGGAAUUACUGGGCAUAAAGCGCGCGUAGGCGGUCUGAUAAGCCGGUUGUGAAAGCCCCGGGCUCAACCUGGGAACGGCAUCCGGAACUGUCAGGCUAGAGUGCAGGAGAGGAAGGUAGAAUUCCCGGUGUAGCGGUGAAAUGCGUAGAGAUCGGGAGGAAUACCAGUGGCGAAGGCGGCCUUCUGGACUGACACUGACGCUGAGGUGCGAAAGCGUGGGUAGCGAACAGGAUUAGAUACCCUUGUAGUC